CAACGCCUGCCUAAGAUCCUGUUUCAAAGACAAUAGUAGCCAGCUGGGCUUGGUGCCUCCUGCCUCUAACUUCUGUGUUUAAUGUCACCUCCCAUAAACCAGCACUUGGGAGGUUAAGGCAGGAGGACCAUGAGUUUAAGGCUAGCCUAGACUACAUAGAGAGAUCUUGUCUCUAAAUAAAUAAUAAAUAGUUGUCUUCCUCCCAUUAGAUUUCCCCAGCCGUUUGAUGAGUCAGUCAUUGUCUGCCACUGGAAGCACCAUGUGCAUGUGUGUAAUAUCUAUGUCUCCCCAGUCUUGGAUCCCAGCUUCUCACUGAAGUGCUGUUGGGUUUGAACACUCUGCUGUCCUCUGGGGGGAAGGACUGGCUACCAAUGACUCACAGGAACGCUUUGCCAGAUAGCGUUAUUACCACAACGACAGCGAAGACAGUGGUGGAGUGCUAGUUGUGGUUGUGCAGUAAUAGGAGCAGCCCCAGCCAAAGGAGCAGCCCUAGGGGAAGAGCCGAAGCAAGAGUAGCAACCACACAGCGCACCUCAGGGAGGCCCAGUAUUGGGCUUCACACCACCCUCAUCACAGAGUACAUUUAAUUCUCACCAUGACCCUGAAGCAGCCAACGUUUUUCUUUUAAGUGUCCACAUUUUACAGAUGAGGACAUUGAAGCGUAAUGAGGGAACAAUAAGAAAGCCAGGACUACACAGGUGGGACUUUGCAACACUUGGGAUUCGCCUAGACUUCCAGGUUCAUGGUCUCCUGGACUUACCAUCCCACCCCACCCCCGCCCCGGGAGUGCAGUGCUUUGCACCUUUUGGAAGGCAGUGGGAAUGCUGCUUCAGCAGUCGGUGUGUAACUGAAGGGAAUUCUGAGGCCGCUUGGAUAUUCAAAUGAUGUCUCAGCCAUAUACAAAUCUGCUCCUCUUCCAUCUGCAUCCCCCCAGAAAUUCAAUAAAACCACGGAAGAAUGAGCCCGUCUACUGCACCCCCAGCCCCACCAGUGCUAUCUGAAGCCUUUUGCGCUGAAGAAAUGAGAUUCAGAUGGAAAAGUGCUGGCACAAGGUUGAGCAGGGUUCUCUAAUAAAGACACUGCGCAUCACACAUCAGCUGCUGCUGUUGCUAUGGUGACAGCCACAAUUUCUCCCAGACAGCCUGGGUCUGCAGGGAGGGUGGACCCUGGGGGGAACAAGUGUGUUCCUCCAACCUGUCAGACCCUGUCACCUUUCCUGUUUCUUUCACCUCUCCCACUCCCGCCAGCCCCC
rnacentral:lncRNA from 1 species